rnacentral:rRNA from 1 species
GACCAGCGGAGGGAUCAUUACCGAGUUUACAACUCCCAAACCCCUGUGAACAUACCAAUUGUUGCCUCGGCGGAUCAGCCCGCUCCCGGUAAAACGGGACGGCCCGCCAGAGGACCCCUAAACUCUGUUUCUAUAUGUAACUUCUGAGUAAAACCAUAAAUAAAUCAAAACUUUCAACAACGGAUCUCUUGGUUCUGGCAUCGAUGAAGAACGCAGCAAAAUGCGAUAAGUAAUGUGAAUUGCAGAAUUCAGUGAAUCAUCGAAUCUUUGAACGCACAUUGCGCCCGCCAGUAUUCUGGCGGGCAUGCCUGUUCGAGCGUCAUUUCAACCCUCAAGCCCUCGGGUUUGGUGUUGGGGAUCGGCGAGCCCUUGCGGCAAGCCGGCCCCGAAAUCUAGUGGCGGUCUCGCUGCAGCUUCCAUUGCGUAGUAGUAAAACCCUCGCAACUGGUACGCGGCGCGGCCAAGCCGUUAAACCCCCAACUUCUGAAUGUUGACCUCGGAUCAGGUAGGAAUACCCGCUGAACUUAAGCAUAUCAAUAAGCGGAGG